rnacentral:rRNA from 1 species
GACGAACGCUGGCGGCGUGCUUAACACAUGCAAGUCGAACGGAAAGGCCCUGCUUUUGUGGGGUGCUCGAGUGGCGAACGGGUGAGUAACACGUGAGUAACCUGCCCUUGACUUUGGGAUAACUUCAGGAAACUGGGGCUAAUACCGGAUAGGAGCUCCUGCUGCAUGGUGGGGGUUGGAAAGUUUCGGCGGUUGGGGAUGGACUCGCGGCUUAUCAGCUUGUUGGUGGGGUAGUGGCUUACCAAGGCUUUGACGGGUAGCCGGCCUGAGAGGGUGACCGGCCACAUUGGGACUGAGAUACGGCCCAGACUCCUACGGGAGGCAGCGGUGGGGAAUAUUGCACAAUGGGCGGAAGCCUGAUGCAGCAACGCCGCGUGCGGGAUGACGGCCUUCGGGUUGUAAACCGCUUUCGCCUGUGACGAAGCGUGAGUGACGGUAAUGGGUAAAGAAGCACCGGCUAACUACGCG